rnacentral:misc_RNA from 1 species
GUAGGUGAACCUGCGGAAGGAUCAUUAUUGAAAAUAAACCUGAUGAGUUGCUGCUGGUUCUCUAGGGAGCAUUGUGCACACUUGUCAUUUUUAUAUCUCCACCUGUGCACCUUUUGUAGACCUGAAUAAUCUUUCUGACUGCAAGUCAGGUUUUGAGGAAUUGGCUUUUAGUCUUUCCUUGCAUUUUCAGGCCUAUGUUUCUUUAUAUACUCCAAUCUAUCUUAUAGAAUGUAACAGGCCCUCUGUGCCUAUAAUUUAUACAACUUUCAGCAACGGAUCUCUUGGCUCUC